GGUAAAUCUCGUGCCAGCCACCGCGGUCAUACGAUUAACCCAAGUUAAUAGGCAUACGGCGUAAAGUGUGUUAAAGCACUAUACUAAAUAAAGUUAAAUUCCAAUUAAGCUGUAAAAAGCCAUAAUUGUAACAAAAAUAUAUAACGAAAGUAACUUUACAACCGCUGAAACACGAUAGCUAGGACCCAAACUGGGAUUAGAUACCCCACUAUGCCUAGCCUUAAACACAAAUAGUUAUGCAAACAAAACUAUUCGCCAGAGUACUACCGGCAAUAGCUUAAAACUCAAAGGACUUGGCGGUGCUUUAUACCCUUCUAGAGGAGCCUGUUCUAUAAUCGAUAAACCCCGAUAAACCUCACCAUUCCUUGCUAAUACAGUCUAUAUACCGCCAUCUUCAGCGAACCCUAAAAAGGUACAAAAGUAAGCACAAUCAUAAUACAUAAAGACGUUAGGUCAAGGUGUAACCUAUGGAACGGAAAGAAAUGGGCUACAUUUUCUAAUCUAAGAAAAUCCAACACGAAAGUUAUUAUGAAAUUAAUAACCAAAGGAGGAUUUAGCAGUAAACUAAGAAUAGAGUGCUUAGUUGAACUAGGCCAUGAAGCACGCACACACCGCCCGUCACCCUCCUCAAGUAGGCACAGUACACUCAAAUUUAUUUGCACGUAUUAAUCAUAUGAGAGGAGACAAGUCGUAACAAGGUAAGCAUACUGGA
rnacentral:rRNA from 1 species